rnacentral:rRNA from 1 species
GACGAACGCUGGCGGCGUGCUUAACACAUGCAAGUCGAACGGUAAGGCCCUUCGGGGUACACGAGUGGCGAACGGGUGAGUAACACGUGGGUGAUCUGCCCUGCACUUCGGGAUAAGCCUGGGAAACUGGGUCUAAUACCGGAUAGGACUCCGGACUGCAUGGUCUGGGGUGGAAAGCUUUUGCGGUGUGGGAUGGGCCCGCGGCCUAUCAGCUCGUUGGUGGGGUGAUGGCCUACCAAGGCGACGACGGGUAGCCGGCCUGAGAGGGUGACCGGCCACACUGGGACUGAGAUACGGCCCAGACUCCUCCGGGAGGCAGCAGUGGGGAAUAUUGCACAAUGGGCGCAAGCCUGAUGCAGCGACGCCGCGUGAGGGAUGACGGCCUUCGGGUUGUAAACCUCUUUCAGCAUCGACGAAGCGAAAGUGACGGUAGGUGCAGAAGAAGGACCGGCCAACUACGUGCCAGCAGCCGCCGUAA